rnacentral:rRNA from 1 species
GCGAGAGGCUUCGGCAAUGGGGGAAACCCUGACCGAGCGACGCCGCGUGGGUGAUGAAGAUUCUCGGAUCGUAAAACCCUGUCAGGUGGGAUGAAAAACCAUUCGGUUAAUACCCGAGUGGCUUGACAGUACCACCAGAGGAAGCUCCGGCCAACUCCGUGCCAGCAGCCGCGGUAACACGGGGGGAGCAAGCGUUGUUCGGAUUUACUGGGCGUAAAGGGCGCGUAGGCGGCAUGACAAGUCACUUGUGAAAUCUCUGGGCUUAACCCAGAACGGCCAAGUGAUACUGUCGCGCUAGAGUGCAGAAGGGGCAAUCGGAAUUCUUGGUGUAGCGGUGAAAUGCGUAGAUAUCAAGAGGAACACCUGAGGUGAAGACGGGUUGCUGGGCUGACACUGACGCUGAGGCGCGAAAGCCAGGGGAGCAAACGGGAUUAGAUACCCCGGUAGUCCCUGAGCGGGCUGGCAAGGCGCAU